rnacentral:rRNA from 1 species
AAAUCCUUGGUUCUAAUAUAACCGGGGGAUGACGGUACCGGAAGAAUAAGCACCGGCUAACUACGUGCCAGCAGCCGCGGUAAUACGUAGGGUGCGAGCGUUAAUCGGAAUUACUGGGCGUAAAGCGUGCGCAGGCGGUUUGUUAAGACCGAUGUGAAAUCCCCGGGCUCAACCUGGGAACUGCAUUGGUGACUGGCAAGCUAGAGUAUGGCAGAGGGGGGUAGAAUUCCACGUGUAGCAGUGAAAUGCGUAGAGAUGUGGAGGAAUACCGAUGGCGAAGGCAGCCCCCUGGGCCAAUACUGACGCUCAUGCACGAAAGCGUGGGGAGCAAACAGGAUUAGAUACCCUGGUAGUCCACGCCCUAAACGAUGUCAACUAGUUGUUGGGGAUUCAUUUCCUUAGUAACGUA